rnacentral:rRNA from 1 species
UCGAACGGUUAAAGCACCUUUGGGUGUGUAUAGAGUGGCGAACGGCUGAGUAACACGUGGGCAACCUGCCCUUUGCAUCGGGACAGCCUCGGGAAACCGUGGUUAAUACCGGAUACUCCAUCUUUCUCACAUGAAAAAGAUGGGAAAGUGUUUAGCGGCAAGGGAUGGGCCCGCGCCCUGUUAGCUUGUUGGUGGGGUAAAAGCCUACCAAGGCAAUGAUGGGUAGCCGGGUUGAGAGACCGACCGGCCAGAUUGGGACUGAGACACGGCCCAGACUCCUACGGGAGGCAGCAGUGGGGAAUCUUGCACAAUGGGCGAAAGCCUGAUGCAGCGACGCCGCGUGCGGGAUGAAGGCCUUCGGGUUGUAAACCGCUUUCAGCAGGGACGAGGCGCAAGUGACGGUACCUGCAGAAGAAGCCCCGGCUAACUACGUGCCAGCAGCCGCGGUAAUACGUAGGGGGCAAGCGUUAUCCGGAUUCAUUGGGCGUAAAGCGCGCGUAGGCUGCCCAGUAGGUCGAGAGUUAAAUCCGGGGGCUCAACCCCCGUCCGCUCCCGAUACCGCUGGGCUUCGAGUCUGGUAGGGGAAGGUGGAAUUCCCAGUGUAGCGGUGGAAUGCGCAGAUAUUGGGAAGAACACCGGUGGCGAAGGCGGCCUUCUGGGCCAUGACUGACGCUGAGGCGCGAAAGCUAGGGGAGCGAACAGGAUU